AACAUCCAUCGCCCGGUGGUAAGUCGGACGUGUUCAUCGCAUCGAGGGUCAAAGUCGAGUGUGUACCGCCUCGACGUGAGUCGGGCACGUUCGUUGAGUCGAAGGUUAACUGACCUCCGAGCACACCCCGAUGACCCGAUCAUUGCGUAGGAUCGAAUGUUGUUCGAUGUGAUCAGUCGGAUGGCGUCCGACGCGUUCGGUCGAAAAAAUGAUGGCAAGUCGAGUUCCCAUUACCU
rnacentral:lncRNA from 1 species